UACGACGGAUGGUGGUUCGAAGACGUUCAGCUCCAUUUUCUCUUUCGGAG
rnacentral:sRNA from 11 species